ACCCUACGGGGCGAAGCAGUGGGGAAUAUUGCACAAUGGGGGAAACCCUGAUGCAGCGACGCCGCGUGAGUGAAGAAGUAUUUCGGUAUGUAAAGCUCUAUCAGCAGGGAAGAAGAAAGACGGUACCUGACUAAGAAGCCCCGGCUAACUACGUGCCAGCAGCCGCGGUAAUACGUAGGGGGCAAGCGUUAUCCGGAUUUACUGGGUGUAAAGGGAGCGUAGACGGCUGUGCAAGUCUGAAGUGAAAGCCCAG
rnacentral:rRNA from 1 species